AUCGGGAAGGCAGGCCAAGCCUUGGUGAGGCCAUGCAGGGACGGAGUGGGGGAGAGUCCCUGUGGGCAGGAGCACUGGGAAGGGGGUGAGAGGGGGCCAGGGCCAGGAGGAGGUGUUGGCCCCAGGAGAAGGUCUGUGUCUUAAUGUGGAUGGAAAACCAGCCGGGCAGGCUGCCCACCUGGCCUGGAGAGGGGCAUGGGGUCUCCGUUCCUGGAGUCACUUCAUGCCUGGAUCGGCCCUUUCUGAAAAGGGACAGUGAGCUUCCAGCGCCUUUAGUACUAGAGAGCAGCAAGAAAAUGGGGUCUGUUGCAUACUCCAGAGUUUCAUGUGUGAGAAGACAAAUGCAACAAACCUCACAUUUCCUAGUUAAAAGAUCCUGUGUUUUCUGAGACGGGGGUUGAAUUCAUUUUAACACUCCAAGCUGACAACCCAGGCCCCCACGCAUCAUGGGAUUGCCUUAAAAAAAUCAUGAGGCUUUUAAAUGAAGAAAAGAAUUAAUUGCUUCAUAUAGUAGUACACAGGACUGUGCCGUGCUCUGCAUAAAUAUCAUGGAAACUCAUUGCGUAUCCCAAAUCAUUUGGUGUAGUAAAGGGAUAAUAUUAACAUUCCAGUGUUUUAAAAGCCCUUUGGUCAUCUCUUCAAGGUUUUCUCGCAAGAGUUGGAGGUGCUGAAAUAAGCAGUGUGGAAGUUUUUCGGUUCUCUGUUGUGAGUACACAAGUCAGACCACUGCUGUCGGUGCUGGCACGUGGUUACGGACUCGAACACUUGUUGGCCAUGUCAGCAGAAGGCUCAGUGUGGUUUACUGGGGUGAGGAGGUUUGCGAGAUGCCGUCAUCCCUGCUCUCCUCCACCCAACAGGGCAGAAGCUGUGCUCCAAAUCCCAGCCAAACUGGGGCUGCCCCGGCUUUGAGGUUAGACCAUUGCCUUUUCGCUUGGCAGGCAGGAGAUUCAGUCCUUGGGGUCCUCAGCCCAGUGUGUGGGGUGGGGUACAGUGUAAUCCUCCCUCUUCUCCUGUUUACUCCCCCAGGUCUUCAACAGCCAGGGUGGCAGUCCCUGGGGGAAAUGAGACCACUAGUUACGAUGGCACAGAGACGAGCGGACCUGGAGCACCAAGAGCUGCAUGCUUGUGAGCUGCUGAGUAAUACAGAACUUGCUUUUCCUGGGAUAAUCCAUAGAGAUGGAUGUUGGACAAUGAAAAUGCAAAAGGAAGCCAGGAUCAUGUGAUGGUGUUGGACCAGGAGAAGGAAAGGGAUCCACACUGCCCUGCCAGCCCUCCUUGUUUGGAGCAGAACGAACAGGCUUUGCGGGGCUCGCAGGCAUUUGAGCUGUGUCCUGGCCCUCGCUGUUUCCUCUGAAGGAAGAUGAGCAUAGCAGAGGAGGAACUUCACCCGUCCAGGGGACUUGCACGUGGAGAGCGUGCAUUUCGCUGUUUUAGCGGAAGGGCAAUGACACUGGUGAGUCUGUGCAGCUGGUUAGUUAUUUCCCCGCUUGGAAUGUCAGGGACACACAGAGCUGUAACAGUUAAUGCCAGAGUCGAGAACAUUUCUGUGGUUUUUGAGUGCCAAGGGACCAAGAGCUGCCCUGGCAGGAAAAGCCUUUUUUCCUUACCUCCUUGAAACAUAGCCAGGCUCCGUAGUUUUCAUUUUACCUGUGCCCUUUAUUUGAGGUCAGGACACCUUGGGCUCAAAAUUGUAAUAAUUUGAGAAUCCCCAAUAACUGUUUUUUAACAAAGCCUCUUGGCCUAACAGAUUGGCCUAUCUCUGCCAGGCGGGUCAUUAAUUUCCAGUCUAAUGCACAAGGGAGAACAUUGUGAAAUGACUGCAUAAAGAGGCAUUAGAGUAAAGAUGAUUUGGGCCUAUUUGCCUGGCAAAGAAAUUGAACCAGCUACGGCUUUUCUUUUACCUGACUCAUGGCUGUAUUGCGGGGAUCAGAUUGGAAAAAAAACAAGUGAAUAUUAUUCACCUAAAGUCUGCUUUCAAACCCAUCUCUGCACACCUCUGUUGCCAGAUGACAUCAUGCUUCUGAGGGCGAAACAAUUUAAACUAUAGAGAUGAAAAUUAUUGGUUUGAAUAACUUCCUUAAAACAGCAACAACAACAGCGGACUGAGGCUUUGUAAAACUUACUUGAAAACGUCUGUUGCUGUAUCUCUGGGGUAAAAUGGCCUAAACUUAGUAUUUAGUAUUCUGUCAUAGUGGUUGCUUUACCAGCAACAUUUUAAAGACAGUAUGGCACAAGCCUUACUGAAAAUAAAGCCCCUGAAUUUAAAGUGCUUUAAGCAGGUUUGUAACUAAUGCUGUUGUACAUAAAAUGGUAUGAAAAAACACAGCAUUUGUAGGCAGAACUAAUAAUGUUCCACUACUAGCUAAUAAAACUGUCACCUCUAAACAUAUCAAGAGGGUUUCUAAUAUUACACAAGUUUCCGAGGAAGAGAGCUAGGGCAGUUGUUCAGGAGAAGGGGCUGGGGGAAGAGAGAAGCACCCCAUGCUGAGAAAGAGCACAUGUCAUCCAGCUCCUUUCUUCUGGGGCCCAGGAGCACAGCACCAACUCUGCUCUGUGAAAGUCCCACUGGAGACCUCACGCAGGUCGCAGCCUGCUGAAACAUUUCAUCUUCCUUGGCUUGUGUGAGUUUGGUCUGUCUGAAGGGAAUGAUGCUGCAAAUUCGGACUAUUUCCUUAUUAAUGUUGUGUAAAAUGAUGCCAUUCUUAUAGCAAGGCUAUUUGUAGAGCUUGAGACUCAUUCUUUUCUUAAACAUUUGUGAUGUGAAGCUUCUAAAAAACCUAUUAGUAAGGAAGCAGAUAAAAAAAAAA